rnacentral:rRNA from 1 species
UACGUAGGUGGCAAGCGUUGUCCGGAUUUACUGGGCGUAAAGGGCGUGCAGGCGGUCUGUUAAGUUCAGGGUGAAAGCUCCCGGCUCAACUGGGAGAGGUCCUUGGAUACUGGCAGACUUGAGGGAGGUAGAGGAGAGUGGAAUUCCCGGUGUAGUGGUGAUAUGCGUAGAUAUCGGGAAGAACACCCGUGGCGAAGGCGGCUCUCUGGGACGGUACUGACGCUGAGACGCGAAAGCGUGGGGAGCGAACAGG